CGAGGAUAGAACGCUGGCGGCGUGCCUAAUACAUGCAAAGUCGGUGCGGAAAGGCCACUUCGGUGGUACUUCGAGCGGCGGACGGCAGAGUAACGCGUAGGAACAUACCCCAAACUGAGGGAUAACUGCUCGAAAGAGUAGCUAAUACCGCAUGUGAUCUUCGGAUUAAAGCUUCGGCGGUUUGGGAAUGGCCUGCGUCCGAUUAGCUUGUUGGUGAGGUAAUAGCUCACCAAGGGCGACGAUCGGUAGCUGGUCUGAGAGGAUGAUCAGCCUGACUGGAACUGAGAACGGUCCAGACUCCUACGGGAGGCAGCAGUAGGGAAUUUUCCACAAUGGGCGAAAGCCUGAUGGAGCAACGCCGCGUGCAGGAUGAAUGCCUUCGGGUUGUAAACUGCUUUUAUUAGUGAAGAAUAUGACGGUAACUAAUGAAUAAGGGUCGGCUAACUACGUG
rnacentral:rRNA from 1 species